ACCGAAACAGAGCAAAACCCCCUCCAUCAGUCCAUCCCAGUCUUCGCGUUGAACAAGGUCUGAGAAAACAAUGUUGUGUGCCGCGUUGAUCUCCACCUUAGUCGAUUCUUCUCUGUGACAUAUUGACUUCCCUGCUGCACGGCGUCGCCUCCUCGCCUAGCUGGCUGCCCAAUCGUGUUCCACUGUCGCGCACGGCUUCUCCACUCGGUCCCUAUUUCUGCAAGCUAUCUCCUCUCCUUUCAAUCUGUGUGGUAGACAUAAGCUGUCAAAUGUUGAUAUCAGUCAUUAGGAAUUUUUUGAUGCACCAAUGAGCUUGCUGGAUGCUAAUAUGGAUUCACUCCCAGGUUUAAAUUAAUGUAUAGCCAUGUUGACAACAAUUCCAAUGAUAUGCACAUAUUUUGAAUGUGUUUA